rnacentral:lncRNA from 1 species
GGCAAACGUGAUGAGAUGUCACCUCUGAGAUGAGGAUGUGAAACUCUCACUUCCCUCUUGCUGGCACUGUGGCUCUUUCACUCAUUCACUCUAAGGAAAGCCACACUGAGAGCUGCCCUGGGGAGGUGUCCCUGUGGCCAGGAACUGAGGGCAACCCUCCAGCCAACAACCAGCGAAGAACUGAGGCUCUCGGCCCAACAGCCUGCGUGGAAUGGAAUCCCACCAACAACCAUGGCAGUGAGCUUGAAAGUGGCCCCUCCCCAUCUCGAGCCUGAGAUGACCACAGCCCCAGCUGGACCGGGAACGCAGCCUGCAGACUCUGAGAUGGAGGACUCGGACGGAAAAGUGCCCCAAACCCUGUGUUCCGAAGACUUUGGGCCCAUGGUAUGGAAGCACGAGAGAUGCUCUAAAGGAACACUAAACCAGUAGUAACUCACAUGUGGAUGUGGCCGGUAUAUAACCCUGGACUUCAAGAUUAAGGAUUCCAGAGUAGUGGAGCCAAAUGAUGGACAUGGCUGGAUCCCUGAGUUAUUGCUUCAAGGAGAGACAUCCAGGAAAGAUGUGAGACCUCCAUCAGUUUGUAUGAGCAAGAAAUGUUUAUUGCUGUUAGGCACUGAUAUUUGGUUUUGUUUUUUUAAUGGAAGCUAGCAUGAACUAAUUACCCUGACAAAAACAGGUGGAGACUGUUGUCAUACCCACCUUACAGAUGAGAACAUUGAGGCAAAAGAGGAUAAGUAACAUGUCCAAGGUCGCAAAACCAGUGAGUGGCAAGGCUGAGACUGAGCCCACGUCCAUCGGGCUUUGGGAAUCUGUUCUUCCUUUUUUUCCCUCACCUUGUUCAUAGUUUU